AACGCACAUUGCGCCCGCCAGUACUCUGGCGGGCAUGCCUGUCCGAGCGUCAUUUCAACCCUCGAGCAACCCGCUCGGCGUUGGGGACCUACGGCGCACUGCCGUAGCCCCCUAAAACCACCGGCGACGCCGCCGCGGCUUCUUUGCGUAGUAACACAACCUCGCACUGGAACGCUGCCGUGCCUGCCGCUAAAACCGCCCUACGGCACUAUAAGGUUGACCUCGGAUCAGGUAGGAAUACCCGCUGAACUUAA
rnacentral:misc_RNA from 2 species